UUCAGAGGAGGGGGAGUACCAGCACUUAAAUAUGCAUAUAAUAUAAAAUAUAAACCUUAAUUAGAAUUGGUCUCAUUGCCCUGAUUGUGAUGGAAUUAGUUUGUGAUAGUUUGUGAUUGGCUGAAAUACGAAAUUAGCCAGAAAAUAUUUAUUGUCUCACAGCAGCUCAUGGAAUUGAGUUUGUUGUAUUUUCUGGCUAAUUUCGUAUUUCAGCCAAUCACAAACUAUCACAAACUAAUUCCA
rnacentral:misc_RNA from 1 species